AGCAAUACUUCUGGCGGCGACCGGCGGAAGGGUGCGUAACGCGUGAGCAACAUGCCCGUAUCUGGGGGAUAAGCAUUGGAAACGGUGUCUAAUAUCCCAUAACAUCAGCAGUCACAUGGAUGUUGAUUGAAAGCUACGGCGGAUACGGAUUGGCUCGCGUGACAUUAGCUAGUCGGCGGGGUAACGGCCCACCGAGGCGACGAUGUCUAGGGGUUCUGAGAGGAAGGUCCCCCACACUGGAACUGAGACACGGUCCAGACUCCUACGGGAGGCAGCAGUGAGGAAUAUUGGUCAAUGGGCGGAAGCCUGAACCAGCCAUGCCGCGUGAAGGAAUGAGGCCCUAUGGGUCGUAAACUUCUUUUGUGGCGGAGCAAUAAGUGCUACGUGUAGCGCGAUGAGAGUACGUCACGAAUAAGCAUCGGCUAACUCCGUGCCAGCAGCCGCGGUAAUACGGAGGAUGCAAGCGUUAUCCGGAUUUAUUGGGUUUAAAGGGUGCGUAGGCUGUGCCGCAAGUCGGGGGUGAAAGCCCGGGGCCCAACCCCGGGAUGUGCCCUUGAUACUGCGGCGCUGGAGUUCGGAUGCCGUGGGAGGAAUGAGUAGUGUAGCGGUGAAAUGCAUAGAUAUUACUCAGAACACCGAUUGCGAAGGCAUCUCACGAAUCCGACACUGACGCUGAGGCACGAAAGCGUGGGGAUCAAACAGGAUUAGAUACCCUGGUAGUCCACGCAGUAAACGAUGAUGACUAACUGUCGGCGAUAAACAGUCGGUGGCCAAGCGAAAGCGAUAAGUCAUCCACCUGGGGAGUACGUUCGCAAGAAUGAAACUCAAAGGAAUUGACGGGGGCCCGCACAAGCGGAGGAACAUGUGGUUUAAUUCGAUGAUACGCGAGGAACCUUACCCGGACUCGAACGGCUGGUGAACGACCCAGAGAUGGGAAGGCCCUUCGGGGCGCCAGUCGAGGUGCUGCAUGGUUGUCGUCAGCUCGUGCCGUGAGGUGUCGGCUUAAGUGCCAUAACGAGCGCAACCCUUGCCGCCAGUUACCAGCAAGUGAAGUUGGGGACUCUGGCGGGACUGCCACCGCAAGGUGUGAGGAAGGCGGGGAUGACGUCAAAUCAGCACGGCCCUUACGUCCGGGGCGACACACGUGUUACAAUGGCGGCCACAGAGGGAAGCCACCCAGCGAUGGGGAGCGAAUCCCGAAAAGCCGCCUCAGUUCGGACUGGAGUCUGCAACCCGACUCCACGAAGCUGGAUUCGCUAGUAAUCGCGCAUCAGCCAUGGCGCGGUGAAUACGUUCCCGGGCCUUGUACACACCGCCCGUCAAGCCAUGAAAGCCGGGGGUG
rnacentral:rRNA from 1 species